rnacentral:rRNA from 1 species
AUUGAACGCUAGCGGGAUGCUUUACACAUGCAAGUCGAACGCGUGGCGCACGGGAGUGAAAUAUAUCGGACCGUGCCCUGUAGCGGGGGAAAACUUGUCGAAAGAGUGGCUUAUACCGUAAUCUAUUGGAUCCGCCGAUAGCGGAUUAGCUAGUGGGUGGGGUAAAGGCUCACCAAGGAAACGAUCCGUAGCUGGUUUGAGAGGACGACCAGCCACACUGGGACUGAGACACGGCCCAGACUCCUACGGGAGGCAGCAGUGGGGAAUGUUGGACAAUGGGGGAAACCCUGAUCCAGCCAUGCCGCGUGUGUGAGAAGGCCUUCGGGUUGUAAAGUACUUUUAGCAGAGAAGCGUUAUCUGCAGAAUAAGCACCGGCUAACUACGUGCCAGCAGCCGCGGUAAUAC